GGCUCUGAGGCGCAAUGGAUAACGCGUGUGACUUCGAAUCAGAAGACUCCAGAUUCGACCCCUGGCAGGGUCG